AGAGUUUGAUCCUGGCUCAGGAUGAACGCUGGCGGCGUGCUUAACACAUGCAAGUCGAACGAUCCUUCGGGAUAGUGGCGGACGGGUGAGUAACGCGUGGGAAUCUGCCCUCAGGAGGGGGAUAACGGCUGGAAACGGCCGCUAAUACCCCAUAUGCCGAGAGGUGAAAUGAAUUUCGCCUGAGGAUGAGCCCGCGUCUGAUUAGCUAGUUGGUGGGGUAAAAGCCUACCAAGGCAACGAUCAGUAGCUGGUCUGAGAGGAUGAUCAGCCACACUGGGACUGAGACACGGCCCAGACUCCUACGGGAGGCAGCAGUGGGGAAUUUUCCGCAAUGGGCGAAAGCCUGACGGAGCAACGCCGCGUGAGGGAUGAAGGCCUCUGGGCUGUAAACCUCUUUUCUCAAGGAAGAAGACCUGACGGUACUUGAGGAAUAAGCCACGGCUAAUUCCGUGCCAGCAGCCGCGGUAAUACGGGAGUGGCAAGCGUUAUCCGGAAUUAUUGGGCGUAAAGCGUCCGCAGGCGGCCUUGUAAGUCUGUUGUUAAAGCGUGGAGCUCAACUCCAUUUAAGCAAUGGAAACUACAAGGCUGGAGUGUGGUAGGGGCAGAGGGAAUUCCCGGUGUAGCGGUGAAAUGCGUAGAUAUCGGGAAGAACACCAGUGGCGAAGGCGCUCUGCUGGGCCAUAACUGACGCUCAUGGACGAAAGCCAGGGGAGCGAAAGGGAUUAGAUACCCCUGUAGUCCUGGCCGUAAACGAUGAACACUAGGUGUCGGGGGAAUCGACCCCCUCGGUGUCGUAGCCAACGCGUUAAGUGUUCCGCCUGGGGAGUACGCACGCAAGUGUGAAACUCAAAGGAAUUGACGGGGGCCCGCACAAGCGGUGGAGUAUGUGGUUUAAUUCGAUGCAACGCGAAGAACCUUACCAGGGUUUGACAUCCUGCGAACCCCUGAGAAAUCGGGGGGUGCCUUCGGGAGCGCAGAGACAGGUGGUGCAUGGCUGUCGUCAGCUCGUGUCGUGAGAUGUUGGGUUAAGUCCCGCAACGAGCGCAACCCACGUCUUUAGUUGCCAGCAUUCAGUUGGGCACUCUAGAGAGACCGCCGGUGAUAAACCGGAGGAAGGUGUGGAUGACGUCAAGUCAUCAUGCCCCUUACAUCCUGGGCUACACACGUACUACAAUGCUACGGACAAAGGGCAGCAAGCUCGCGAGAGUUAGCAAAUCCCAUAAACCGUGGCUCAGUUCAGAUCGUAGGCUGCAACUCGCCUACGUGAAGGAGGAAUCGCUAGUAAUCGCAGGUCAGCAUACUGCGGUGAAUACGUUCCCGGGCCUUGUACACACCGCCCGUCACACCAUGGAAGUUGGCCAUGCCCGAAGUCGUUACUCCAACCCUUGUGGAGGAGGACGCCGAAGGUGGGGCUGAUGACUGGGGUGAAGUCGUAACAAGGUA
rnacentral:rRNA from 1 species